CUCCGCUCCACCCUGCCUCCACCCUAAUUGAGGCGAAUAUCCACAUACUUUUAGGAAAUGGAGUGAGGAUAAAGAAAAAUGUGAACAUGUCGAGGGAUCAUUAUGCAUACCUCCAUUCCAAAUCUCUUCUUUGAAUGAUAAGAAGCACAAUCACUUAAACUAGGCUAAAGUCUAAUUCAAACAUAGCCUUAACAACUCCAUAUUAUAGAAACAAAAACUAAGUAAUAGUGAACUUAAAAAUUGGGCGUAUCCCAAUUUGUAUUACUAUUUUUUUCCUAGCUUCUUAUUUGCACCUCACAAUUAAAAAAUCUAUAAUCUGUUGAAAGAAACUGCACUAGUAAAUGAUAUGGUUAGAAGUUACAGGAUCUAAAGGUUCGAGAUGAUUGAAUCAUCUAACGUUUCUAAUGUCAGAGUCAAGAGUAAAUGGGUCAAAAAGAGAUUUCUGUAAAAGCACAACGCAAGGUGUAAUUACCCAAAAAUAAUACUGAGUCAACACAAGUGAGUCAAAAGCCGAGUGAACGAACAACGCAAAGUGUCAGAAACGCACCUUGGAUGUGGAGAGCCUUUGUUUUGAAUCUUUGAUGGGUUGUGACCGUUCAUAGAGCCGCACUUCCUCUUCCCCUACGACGAAGGCCGCGGCGGCCGACCACUCCCUGCCGACGCCGACGACGACAACGAAUUCGCCGCUGAUUUUUUGAGGAAGCGGAAGUAAACAAUAAACCCUAGAAAUCGAAUCCGUUUUUUUUUAAUGGUCCGAUUCUGAUCCAACAGCUCUGAUUCUCUGAUUUUCUCUUGUUAAGAAUCUCUUGUUAAGAAAUCAUAGGGUCCUCUUCUGAAGCGAGCGUGGCCGAUUUUGGUCCGAUUGAUCAUAGUGAAAAAACAUGGCCCUAGUCAUAAUGGGUCCCGCAUAAUAAUGGGUCCCAAAGUCAACAAGGAUCAUGACUAUAUUUAGCCUGGUAAUGCUUAAAAGCAAAUUUUUUUUUUAGUUUGCUACUAAAAAAUUUAAAAAAUUUAAAAAAUUUAGAUUUUUUUGCUUUCAUAUAUUUACUUUAGCUAAAAAAAAUUAAAAAAAUCAACUCUAGUGGUUUUUUUGCUUAUAAGCUUAACGUCUUGUCAGGGCAAAUGUUUUUUUUGAAUUUUUUUAAUAGUCUUAACUUUUGAUUUUUUUUUAUUUUAAAUAAUUUUUUUAAUUAUUUUAUUAAAAUUUUAUAUUUUAUCGAUUCUUCUGUGGAUGGAAAUCCAAAAAUAUAAAUAAUUUUAUAUAAUUUAUAAAAAAACUCACUAAAGAUAAAAAAUUAUUUUUUAGAUUUUUUUGAAUGAAAUUAUUAUUUUUGGCCUUUUGUAUUUUUUUUCAAAUUAGAUGAAUAUUUUUAUAUUUUUAGACUAUAAUCAAGAUCAAAUGGAAAAAAGAGUUAACUAAAAUACCAAAAAACAGAGUCGGCAGAGAUUUGUAAAAGAAAAAAAAUAUUAAACUUGAAUCGUUAGAUUCGUUGACUUUUCUUUUUUUUUUUCUCUACCAAAUCAUAAAUCCAAAUAUAGCCUUGAACAAUUUAAGAUUGUAUUUCAAUAAAAAAAUUGGUAAGAUUUGUUAAGGAAAAUGAAAAAUUAAAAAAAAGAAAAUGCUACACAUCAUCCAAAGAACGGUGAUUUUUUUUUAAUAGGAAAGAAAUAUAUUGAUAAUUAUGAAAAUUGUAUAUAAAUUUAUAAAUAUUCGUAUUAACUACCGCUCAAUAAAUCUAACAAGCGAUGAUUGAGAGUGAAGUCAUGUGUCCAAUUGUUUUUGGUUUCAAUUUAUAUUUAUAUUUAAUGGGGUAUGAGGCCCAUAACCCAUGCACGCGAGAUCUAUUAUGUAUAUUAUUAAUUGAAUGACGAUAUGGAAUAAAAUUGAAUGAUAAGAAUAAGUUUGUAGAUAGAUUGUCAUAUUUUAAGACAAUUUUGAUUUGUAAUCAUACUGCUAUAAAUAUUAAAUCAAUUUAACUUUUUUUUUAUAGACAAUCUAUGUUCAUAGACUUAAAAAAAUGAAUCGAUUGAGAUCCUGUUUUGGGUAUUUAUUUAUUUUAUCUUUUUAUGUUAGUAAAUUUUUUUCAUCGUUUUUUUAAAUUUUAAAUUUUUUUAGUUUAUUUUGACAAGAAUAGUCCGAAGAUAGAUUUUUUUUUUAUCUAAUUUGAUUUUUUUUUAUUAAAAACGAUUAUAUUUUUUGACUCCUUUUGUCAAUAAAAAUUAAAAAAAUAUAAAUUUUUAAUCAAACAAAAAAAUAAAUUCACUAUAAAUAAAAACUUGAAAAUAAAAAAAUAAAAAUAUCCAAACUUGAAUCGAUGAAUCUUUUAGUCAUCCAAACCGGACCGACAUAGCACAAAAAUCAAAUCUAUUUGGAUAAACUGCAGAAUUCACGUGUAUACUGAAAAUCAAAGGCUGACAGCCUCGUCAAUCAGCGCAUUAAAUUGGAAAAUUAUUCAGUGCUUUGAGCGCAAGUCCUAGUAGUGUUCUAACAUUAGAAUGA
rnacentral:lncRNA from 1 species